CCAAAAUGCAAAUUUGGAGACGCACCCUAAAGGUGCCGGGGCUUCUCCCGU
rnacentral:tRNA from 1 species